rnacentral:sRNA from 1 species
ACUUCGUAAUGUCAAUAGCAACGUACGGACGGCACUAUUUAUGUAAAAUGACGUAAAUAGUUCAUUUGAUAUGUAUAUACAAAAUUGUAAUAACUAGACGUUUAUUUAUAAAAACGUUAUUAUAUCUCUUGUGGAACUUACAAGUAUAAUCCAAUUUAUUUUGUUUCGACUUCGCAAAACUCUUUUGUUAUUCUCUUUUCGUUUGGAUUGGUGCGGCCAAAUGUUUCAAGUGAAAAGCUUUUCAGGAUUAAGUUAUUAAAAAAAUAAGGUAGUGUUUUCCACAUUCAGUGUUUUUUAAAGAGCGUAGAUAUAAGAGAUAUUAAAUGUUAUAUCAAUAAUCGUCAAAAAAAAACUAAGAAUAAACUCGAUAACAACACAGCCCGGCCAAGAUUGGCUUAACGAAAGUAACACGAAGUGAUAUAAACAUGUUGGCUUAGGUUGAGUAUACCAGCAAGAUACCGGUUGAUUUGAAAAAAAAUCUACAGUUUGUACCUGUAGUUCGGUGGAAAAUUCGUUGUGAUGAUGAUUGGAUCAAUGCGAAUCACAUUACUUUUGCUCGAUCUCUUCAGGAUUAAGCGUUUAGAGCCUACCAGCGCGAUAAAACCGCGGAUAAUUUGAAAACUUUUAGCAAACAUCGGAAGAAAGUGAAAUCUGUUGUGUGUUUUAAGAAUAUCUUUACAUCAACUGGGAAUAUUUUAUUGAAGUCGGCAAACCUUCUACAAAUAAGGGAAAAAGGACUGGUCCAAGAUGACUUCCUUGAGGAACGCCCGGUGGUAUUUUAAAAGAGCUAGAUUGACAAUUCUCAAAUAAAACUAAUUUGUCCUAUCAAUAAAAUAGGAUGCUAUCCACGACAGUAAUUUAUUACUGAAGCCUAUAUGAAUUAAUUUAUAAAGUAAAAGUUGUUGAUUGACACGCUUUACUAAAAUCUGUAUAGAUUGUAUCAGUGGAGGUAAAUUGGGUAAGAUUUGUGAUAGUCGACAAACCCGCCCGAAAGCAAUGUUGGUUAGGACAUAUAAUGGGCUCAUAAAGUUGAGUCGAGUGAAAUUAUAUUAGUUAUUAAUUUUUCGAAUAGCUUUGGAAUUACACUUAAUCUCUUAAUUGGUUUUAAACUGUGCAAGCCAUCAGAUAUAUCUGCAUAAAGAAAAUAUGAAAUAUUUACUUAAUCAAGUUGACGCAAGUCAUAUGGAUGGUGAUCAAUUGAUUGAGAACGUUUGUUUGAAUAGACUGAGGAAAAGAAACUUGCAAAGCAUUGAGCUAUCUAGCUAUCAUUAACAUAAUCUUUGUUUCUGAAUUUUAAAA